rnacentral:rRNA from 1 species
GAGGAAGUAAAAGUCGUAACAAGGUUUCCGUAGGUGAACCUGCGGAAGGAUCAUUAACGAAUAUCUAUGGCGUUGGUUGUAGCUGGCUUCUAGGAGCAUUGUGCACGCCCGUCAUUCAUAUCAUCUUUCCACCUGUGAACCAUGUGUAGGCCUGGAUACCCCUCGCUUUGGCAACAAAGCGGAUGCAAGGAUUGCUGCGUCGAUAAGGCCGGCUCUCUUUGAAUUUCCAGGUUCUAUGUUCUUUUACACACCCCAUUCGAAUGAUUUAGAAUGUAGUCAAUGGGCUUUCAUGCCUAUAAAAAACUAUACAACUUUCAGCAACGGAUCUCUUGGCUCUCGCAUCGAUGAAGAACGCAGCGAAAUGCGAUAAGUAAUGUGAAUUGCAGAAUUCAGUGAAUCAUCGAAUCUUUGAACGCACCUUGCGCUCCUUGGUAUUCCGAGGAGCAUGCCUGUUUGAGUGUCAUUAAAUUCUCAACCUCACCCGUUUUGUAACGAGACAGGUGGAGGCUUGGAUGUGGGGGUUUUGCAGGCUGCCUCAGUGCUGGUCUGCUCCCCUGAAAUGCAUUAGCGAGCUCAUAUUGAGCUUCCGUCUAUUGGUGUGAUAAUUAUCUACGCCGUGGAUUGGACUCAUGCUUGCUUCUAACCGUCCGCAAGGACAAUUUACUUGACCAAUUUGACCUCAAAUCAGGUAGGACUACCCGCUGAACUUAAGCAUAUC